GCAGAUCUGCAGGGACUCACACAGCAGCGACAUGCGGCCCUGUAAGAGGACUGCUACAAAUUGAGCCCCAGGAAAGCAGGGCUGGGCCCAACUGCACUAACUUAGGCUCUCCCCCAAGGACAGACUCGGGGGAGCCUGGGCACUCAAAGGAGCUGGUUGUGGCCAACAUCCCAUUUUUAUGAGCAGCAGAAUUUUACUAAAUUAGGAAAUAGAAGAAUGAAGAUGAAUCAACUGCAACGUUGCUCCUUCUGACUACACAGAUCUGUCCAUUGAUGAGAGUGAGGUGCUGAAGUCUUCCACUAUUAUUGUGUGCUGUACAAUGUGUGUUUUGAGCUUUACUAAAGUUUCUUUAAUGAAUGUGGAUGCCCUUGCAUUUGAAGCAUAGAAGUUCAGAAUUGAGAGUUCAACUUGUUUGUUUACAUGGUGGAAUGCCUAGAUGGGAUGAAACCUACUUGAUCAUGGUGGGUGAUGUCUUUGGUAUGCUCUUGGAUUCUGCUUGCAGUAGAGAUGGAUGGACCCUUCUCCAGGCAUGGAAAACUGUUUAGAUUGUGAUCAACAGACUCAGCACUGGCAGCUUGCACUGAAGAACUCAGCAUCCUGGGCUCUUAGUUAAGUCUGCAGUGGUUACUAAGCGGGAUGUGGAUUCAUUUUCAAACUAAGCACUCAGCACUGCCCCCAGCUCACAGCUCCGGAGAUGAAAGGUAUCAUUUAUAAAGGGUUCCAUUUGCCUUUGAAGGCUCAAAUGCCUUUGCUCAGCCCUUCCCCCCAAUUUGCUCUGACAUCUGUUUGAGACUAAGAGAUUAUUCAGCUCACAAUGAGAUCUUGUCAGUGCCAGGACUGUUUACUGGAUGAUAUACUUUGUUGCCUUUUAAAAUAAAAGAUGAUGAUUUUCUUGUAAGAAGAAGAAGUGCCUUUGACUUCAAGACCUUCGCUUUUGGGAAAAUACCAUUAUUUGUCAAUUUGUGGUUUUUGAUAAGUUUUUUUUGUUUGUUUUACAAAGCCUUAGAAAAGUUUCGAAAUAUAGUCCAGAAUUCAAAGUACUAUUUUAUCAAAAAGCAGGAAAUAUUACUAUAUUUGGAGCUGGGACAGAGCAGAAACUUGACUAUUUCGACACACAACUUUCUUCACUGCCCUGGUGUUUAGUUAAGAACAUGAAAUAAAGAAAUUGCUUUGUUUUCUUUCAGAGCACACACACACUCAUGACCAAAAGCUUUUCUGUAGCUGUCUUCUAAACAGCUCCUUGGUAGUAGAAGUUAAUUCUGCACUGAAGGUUUUAUGCUAUGUGAGAUGACUUAUCGUUUCAUAAUAAAAAGCAUAAUUUGGAUAACUAUC